CUGUGACAUAGAAAGUCAUUCGGCAUCUUCUCUCACAUCAUGUUGUGUUUAGCACUACCAUCAUAGACUUACUGAAUGACUAAUACAUUGUCAUGAUACAGUAGACAACAUUUUCCUGAAUAAGGAAUUUGUUUAACGAAGGUAGUGAACCACUGGUCCUGUGAUUUAUGGUCUUAAAUCUAUCAGAAACACCUGCAUUUUUGGAAUGAGUGAAUGUAUUAUUGGAAUGCCAAUUACAUAAUUGCAUUGGAAAUAAUACCUUGAGCAUUCUAGAUACUAGUGUAAAGGAAGUGGCAAGUUUUCUGAGUGACAAACAAUAGGUGGCUUUAGGUUGUUCACAUAAAACUGCGCCUGUAUUUUUUAAAAUAAGCAAUGGAUACUCCAAUAAACCAAAGCAACGAAGAAUGAUGAGCACCCACCUGAAGAUAAUAUUGGUAUCGCAACAGCAGAAGAGCCAAACAGAAAUGUUAGAGUUGUUGAGAAUCACGGAUGACCCAAACUGAUUUUAGGCCUGUUUAAUGAGGCUCUUAUUUCAUUACAGGGUUAUAACCACAGAGAGAAAACAGUAAAAAUAAACAAACAAAAAAGACCCUAACUAAACAGAAACAGACCCAACUCCUUCAUCUUAUGGAAUCUACCUCUUAGGGGACAGGUGCAUAUUAAUAAAAAUAGUGAAACUUAAUAAAAAUAGUCAAACUUGACAGGACUUGCUUAAAGAAUCAAUGAUUAUGCAGUGAUACAUGAGCAGAGAAAUAACAGCAGUUACUGGACAGGAUACUCUGAGAAAGAGCAUCAAAUAUUUUCAUGUUUUUUUUAAAAAAAAAGUGAAAAUAUUUGCUUCUUUGAUUCUCCUCAGUGCCUUGCAGUCCCCUAGUCACAGGUGUGUAGAUGUGGGGUGGCCCAAUGGGCGCAGGUCACCAGUGGCCCUACAAGUCCAUGUGUACUCGAGUUUAAACAAUUUUCUAGAUGAUUCUGUUAGACUACACUAUAAAGAAUAAAACCUAGAGAUAGCUUCCUGUACCACACUCUCAUUUAGCAUAUAUUAAUG
rnacentral:lncRNA from 1 species